UGCCAUACAUUUUGNAGCUAUUUUACUUG
rnacentral:piRNA from 1 species